UUAAGUUGAACCCAAAUCAAUCUUCCUACAGCUUCCAUGCACUGGGCCUAGGUAUGACCCUGAAACCUAUCCAGAUGAAUUGGUUGGAAAUUGGUUAGAAACAAAUAUUUUCAGCCCAUGGUUUUUCAUAUAUCUAUAAUUUGGGCACAUCCUGGGGGAUUGCACCUACACUGAAAAGCACAGGCUGCUGCAACAGGAAUGUAGGGAGAAGUCUCGGUUUGUCAAUACCAUGGCAUCCAUGGCAGAUAGAAAUGUCAGCAAGCGAAAUUCUUAGUACCUGCCAUGCAAAAGGAGAGUCUGAAAUCCCUGAAGAUAAGCUUUAUAGUGGGUGAUUUAUAGCACAAUACUCAUCAUAGUUUUCUCAAGCCCAUCCGAAUUAUGAGGAGUAAUGUUUCUUUCCAUUGCUUCAACUUCUGACCUUCUUCAAAAGUAGGCAAAAAUUUCUGAUCUUGCAUGUGAUUCCUGUAAGGAUGCUGGUGCUACUGAGUCAUCGGGCCAUUAACAGUAUAAAGAUGACUAGUUUUGACAUUCUUUCAUACUCAAUGAUGUUCUGCUAUUUUGUCAACGAAGAUCUCUUUCUGUAUCCUACCAAUUUUGGUAAAAACCAUAUUCAUAAAGAAAAAAAAAAAACACUCCCGUCAAGGGUGAAGGAAUCUAAAUAGCAGAUUUGAGGUUUUCGGGGCUUUUUAGAAUAUUCACCUUAUAGGCGAAGGCAAAGACAGAAAAAAAUUAGAAAGACAAAGAACAAUGGCAUACAAGAAAUAAGUAAGGAAAGAAAAACAAAACUAACUGGAACAAAACAAAAUUCCUCAUCAAGACACAUAAAACUUUUCCAAGACUGUGACUGGUGCACCGAUAUUGCCAUUAAAUGAAGAACCAUGCCUGCUGCCUUGGGGCCUCAGGACAACUUACAAAUUAUUAUGAUGGUCGCCAUGUGGAUGGCGGAACAGCCAGUGGACAAAGCAACAGUGUUUAUGAAGAGUACAAGCAAUAACAGGAUAACCAGAGGCAGAGAAGAAAAAAAUACAGAAGUUGUUGCCAACUCUAAAUAAAGUAAUAUGACCAUUGUGUAAAAUCUUUAGUGAUAAGGAGAGUUGAAAGCCAGAGAACGAAUAUAAAAGCCAGUUUCCCAGUCUCUUUGGUGAACCAGCAUACAUACAAAUUACAAGCGAAAAUAAUUUCACAAAUGCUAUUGUUUUCCCAAUUAUUUUUAUCAUAAAGAUUUCCAGAGAAUUAUGACCCUGAAGGACAGGAAGUUUCAUCUUCUUACAACAAAUUCAGCUGUAUACUAUAAAACGAGGAAAGAAGAAGAAAUGUUGUUGGGACUUUUCG